AACGAACGCUGGCGGCAGGCCUAACACAUGCAAGUCGAGCGCCCCGCAAGGGGAGCGGCAGACGGGUGAGUAACGCGUGGGAAUCUACCGAGCCCUAAGGAAUAGCUCCGGGAAACUGGAAUUAAUACCUUAUACGCCCUUCGGGGGAAAGAUUUAUCGGGGUUUGAUGAGCCCGCGUUGGAUUAGCUAGUUGGUGGGGUAAAGGCCUACCAAGGCGACGAUCCAUAGCUGGUCUGAGAGGAUGAUCAGCCACAUUGGGACUGAGACACGGCCCAAACUCCUACGGGAGGCAGCAGUGGGGAAUAUUGGACAAUGGGCGCAAGCCUGAUCCAGCCAUGCCGCGUGAGUGAUGAAGGCCCUAGGGUUGUAAAGCUCUUUCACCGGUGAAGAUAAUGACGGUAACCGGAGAAGAAGCCCCGGCUAACUUCGUGCCAGCAGCCGCCGUAAUAC
rnacentral:rRNA from 1 species